rnacentral:rRNA from 2 species
CGCCGCGGUAAUACGUAGGUGGCAAGCGUNGUCCGGAAUUAUUGGCCGUAAAGCGACGCGCAGGCGGUCCUUUAAGUCUGAUGUGAAAGCCCACGGUUCAACCGUGGNGGGUCAUUGGAAACUGGGGGACUUGAGUACAGAAGAGAAGAGUGGAAUUCCACGUUUAGNGGUGAAAU